GAUUGUGUGCUUGGCAAACAGGUUUAUCCGAGGCCACCUUGUUCCCACCUGCCGGGUCGAGAGCUGUGCGGUGGGAGGCUGAGGACUGGGCUAUGCCCAGUGUGUGCCCGGUGCCUCCGGCUCCCCCGGGGUACUCCCACCCGGAGACGCCGGCCUCUCGGGGAAACGAAACGCCCACGAGGAGUCAGCCUCUUUGUCCUUCCCGGGUUCGGGCUGCUCUCCUCCGGGGACCUUCCCUCCGUGGGCAGAUGGUUUUCUCCAGGAAGGCGACUCGGGGCCACCACCAAAGACUUUCUGCAACUUUCUGGAAGCUCUUAUCAAGCAGCCACAUCUUUGCGUAUUUGCAGGGACUGUGGGAACCAUUUCCUGGGGAGAACGUGGUUGGAUUCCCAAGACCCGGCGCCCGGAGACCUCGCUCCUCCUGCGGGGCCCUCUGAGCUCCAGCUUGGGCCCUUGAGAGGCCCAGGCUGUCCCCUGACCCACGGAAAACUGGGCUGUGAAAAGUCAGAGAUGAACUCGGGAGGGCCUUCAAAGCAGCUGUCUUCACUCGUCUCACGUUCUGAUAAGGAGCCUGUGUCCCGGAGCGGUUGAGCAGUGCGCUCAAGGUCACUCAGGGAGUCCACCGUGGGACCUGGCUUGAGGCCCAGCAUCCCUGUGAGGGAUGUGAGGGGACUCCAACAGGACUGUCCUGUCCUGUCUAGCUCGGGGCCAUGGCCUGUUGCUUGGCUGGUGGUGGGGCGAGCUGGGAGGGGGUGCUGGGGGCCCCAGCCCCUUCCUUGGUGAUUAUGCAGCUUCCCCGCCCGGCCCCUUUCUGGGCAGACCCGUCGCAGCCCGCGCUGCCCCCCGCGCUGUGGCAGGCGGCAGUGGGCCUCUGAGAUGCUGGCGCGGCCCCUGCGCUAAUAGGGCCGUCUGGGGUGGCCUCGGGGCUCCGAGCUGACUGUGCUGUCUUCCCCGCCCGCCUUUUCUUCUGCACGGCUCCCCGGCCGGCCCUCCCCGCCCCGCCCGCCGGCUGCCGCUGCUGCAAAGCCCGCUGGCCGGCCGGCCGGCCGAGCUAAUUGGGCGGAGAAAGAGCCCGAUUGUCUGCGGCCGGAAGCGCGGGCGUGGGCGCGGGGAGCGCGAGGUGGCCGCUUCGGCCCGCAGCUGCCAGCGCCGGUUGCCGGUUACGUCACCGCGGGCGGGUGGGGAGGGGCGCCCCCAGCCUCCCGACAAUGCGCCCAUUGUCGCCGCGAGUGGCUCAUUCUGGAUGAAUGGCGCAUGGGCCUCUUGACCAAGGAGGCCGCUAGCCGGCCGAUCUGUCCUCUCGAAGGCCACCCCCUGGGCUGGAGCGCCGCCUGCUCGGGGCUGCGGAGGGACGGGGGCCGUCCCUUAGACCCCCGGCUGCACCGAGCUCCCCGCCCGACUGGGGCCCUUGGCCACACGCACAGCAGGCACUCAGCAGAACUGGGCCCGGGGCUGUGGUGGCUCUGUGGGGUCGGCCCCCUUCAGCAUGGCCUCCUGGUUGUGGGGGAGCACGGGCCCCGACCCGCUCGUGGUCCUGCUGGUUGUCAUCCUGCUAACGCGCUUCCUUCUCUGGUCCUGCCUCGGGACCUACAUCGACUACAGGCUGGCCCGGCAGCAGCCUCGCAAACCCAAGGAGGAAUAGAGCCUUGGCUGGCCGGCAGCCUCUGCACAGCAGGCACCCAAUGACCUUCCCCUCUAGAAGGGGUCUGUCCCACAGAUGUCCUGUCCUGAGGCUGAGGGUGGGCUUGGGGAGUGAGCAGGCAGGCAGAUGACCUCUGUGUCCCACCCCCGGAGCUCGACCUGGCGGUCAGUGCAGGGGGACAGAGGCUCAGGGAGGCCAGAGAUGGACCACGCCCCACUCAGGCUGACCAGGGCCAUCCUGGUCACACCCACAUCCCACGUCGGGGGACCGAGUGGCCACUGCCUGUCUGUCCACCAGGUUCUGGGGUCCCCUGUUGGAGUGAGUAAUCCUGGGGGUGGGUCUUACUUUAAGACCGUCUCUGCUUCCAAUUCUUUAUAAAUAUGUUUCCAGGAAGAGGUGGGGGUGAGCCGGAGGGGUUGGGUUGGGGGGCCAUAAGGACCGAUGUGGCUGCAUCACGAGCCAGCCCUGCCACCAAAAGCCACCCCCCCCCCCAGCCUCCUCCUGCCUCCUGCAAGGAUAAGAGUCAGUGCAGACAGCUGCCCUGGUUUUCCCAGAGCAGACCCCCAGGGCAUCUCAAGGCAGACCUGUGACACCCCAGUUCCCGUCGCUCUGGUUGACCACGGGCAAACUCUCUUUGCCCAUCUGUAAAUUGGGUGCAAUAAAUCCUGCCUCCCUCCCUCAGAAGGUUACCAGGAGGGGGCAGACUGGGGGCGGGGGGAGUGGGCAAGCCCCCACAGUCUGCAAACUGCUGGACACAUGGAGGACAAUGUAGGGGAGAAGCCUCUGGACUCAGCGGCCUCUGCUCCUCUGUAUGUCUUUAAGUGUGCGGCCGAGUCACGUCUGAGAAGCCGGGCAGGCAGGCAGGAAGACUUGACUAGAGCCCGAGAAUCCAGCGUCCCCCUGCAGCCCACCCCCGGUCACAUCAGCUGUGUACACACUCGACUUCUGGAGCAGCAUGUGGCCACUCGCUGGUUCUCAACGUGGUGGCAGCUUUGAAUCACCUGGGAGAUUUUAGCAAAUGCCAGUGGCCAAGCUCCACGCCAGAUCGAGAAGCAUCGGCCGAGACCAGACGUUCCUGGCAGGCUGGGGCCUGGUGACACUGUGAAUUCCAAAAGGACUUGGGGGUGUCCGUCUGCGCAGAGUCUUAGGUGGCUGUUGGGGGCCUGGAGUCACCGAUCUGGGCGAAUGGACUCUUGGGGACCCUUAGCUGGGAGUUGCCCACCUGGCAGGGUCCAGGCAGAAAGGACCACAGGGGUGAGCCGGGGACGCGGUUACUGAUGUUUCUGAGAGACCUGAUCCACUCACCUGUGUCAAGAAGACCUUGUUUUGCUCCUGGCUGUGCUCAAGAGGAGUACAGGGACUGGGGAGCCGGCCAGCCGAAAAGUGACCUUCUCAGGGUGACACUGACCAACCAGCUAGAGUUUCAAUGGUAGGGGUGUCUGAGAGACGAUUUGAAGAUGCUCUAGAUGAGGGUCACUUCUUCCUCUUCUUCUUCUUCUUUUUUUUUUUUGCUGAGGAAGAUUAGCCCUAACCUAACCUAACAUCUGUUGUCAAUCUUCCUCUUUUCGCUUGAGGAAGAUUCGCCCUGAACUAACGUCUGUGCCAAUCUUCCUCUAUUUUAUGUGCAUGGCUGCUGACAAGUGGUGUAGGUCUGCGUCCGGGAACCGAACCUGGGCUGCUGAAGCAGAACACAUCGAACUUAACCACUAGGCCACAGAGCCGGCCCCGAUGAGGGUCCCUUCUUUUCGAUGAGUCUGGAGAGUCCGCACAGGGGUGGGGUUACCAUGCACUGGUCGAUUCAUCCAGGGCUUGUGGGUGGCUGUCCUCUGGGUGGUUGUCCUAGCCAGUGGCCCAGCAGAAAUCGUGUCCCCCCCGUGUCAAGGACAAUUGGCUACAAGGUGGCUGAGGGCGUAUCUGAUCGUAGGGUUCGAGGAGGGGGUGUCCUCAUUGCUCUUUAAGGACAACGUUGUCCAAUUUUCUUUAAAGUGAUCGCACGUGGUUUCGUUGAUCUCUCUCAGGAAGAGGAAGUGUGUUCGUUGUCAUGAGCCGGUACCGAUGGAGGGAGGGCGGCUGACCAUUCUGGCUUUCCUGGGACCGCCCUGCUCUUAAAACCGAAAGUCCCACAGCCUGGGAAAUGCCUCUAUCCUGGGCAAAUCGGGCCUCCCCAGUGGAGGGAAAAGUCACAAGUUCACAUGACAUGCUGGUCUCGCCAGUCGCUGACCGUCUAACCUGCGUGUCGCCUGCAUGUCCCAGUGGCCGGGUUCACCAUUGGGUCCAGCGAGCCAGAAUCCUGAGGCUGUCGCUCUUUUUUUUCUUAAGUCAGUUUACAGUGUUUUCUGUUACUUGCAACUGACAAAAUUCUGACAGGUGACAAGCACAGGCCCUCUGCAUCCCUGUGUCAAACAGCUACAGCCUCAUGGCACAGUGCCUGGCUCAGAACAGGCACUCCAGCCGUGGCAGCUCAGCGAACGAGAGGACGUGCCCUGGCUCUGUGUUGGGCAGCAAUUGCAGUCAGCUGCAAGUAACAGGCAAGUAGAUAAAUAGUGACUAAAACGAAAGAGGCUUUUAUUUUUUUCAUUUUUAAUGUAGAAAGAAGUCUGGCCUUUGGCAUUUCCAGGCUGUGGUAUGGCAGCUCCAUGAUAUUAGUAAGGACUUAGACUCUUCUAUGUUUCUGCUCUGCCAUCCACAGCAUGUGUGUAACUUUUGUAUUCAUGGCUACAAUAAGGUUGCUGCGACUCCAAACAUCUUGAGUGAGUUCCAGGUGGGAAGAGAAAGGAAUGGGUGAUAUAUCAAGGAAGCAAAGCUUCCUUAGUUUCACAUCACAUAAACCAGAACUAUGUCACAUGGUAUCCUUAGAUGCAGAGGGGGCUGCGAAAGGGCAUUAGCUGGGCUUGUUGCCACCCUAAAUAAUGUCAGGUUUCUAUCAUAAAGGAAGGCAAAAUGGAUGUUGGGUAGGCAACUGGUGGUCCCUGCCACUGGCCUCUUGGCCAUUCCUUGUAAUUGUGAUAUUUAUCUUGGACACUAUUUGGGGGUAUUUGGGUGUAUUUUAUGGCACCCUUGUGUGCUAGCUUUGCCCUCAUCUGCCCCUGAGGAAGAGCAGCUGUGCUCAGCUGUCCUUGGCAGCUCCAGCCUGGAGUUGGAGCGUGGAGCUGCCCAUAGCUUCUUGGGGCUCCUUGUUCCCAGGGGGAAGUCGAAGGCUGAAACAGACACGUUCCUUCUUAGGGAUGCAUGGAGACGCUCCUUGACUCGCAGUGUGAUGACAGGCACAGACUGUAGCUCGUGGGAGGUGGACGAUGCAUAGCUGCUGGAGAAGUGAAUAAGACGUUGGGCAGCAGACGGAUGAGCGGAGGGGCAGAUGGAGUCAUUAACUCAGCCAGCAUCCCUGAGCACUCACAACGGGGGAGGCACCAUGGAUACACUGUGGAAUAACAAAGUGCCUGCCCUCAGGCGGCUUGCUGUCUGGGAGGUAAGAAGCAGGCAGAGAGACCUGGAAACAAAUCUUAGACCUGCACUAGGCACGCAUGGCUAUUAAGCACUAAAAAAGCGAUCAGUGCAAAUUGAGAUAUGCUGUAAGUGUAAAAUACAUGCCAGAUUUUGAAGCCUAGGUACAGGAAAAUAAUGCAAAAUCUCGUUAAUAAUGGUUUUAUAUUGAUCGUGCAUUGAAAUGACAACAUUUUGGAGACAUUGGGUUAAAUAAGAUAUUAAAAUGAAUUUCACCUGUU